rnacentral:rRNA from 1 species
GAUGAACGCUGGCGGCGUGCUUAACACAUGCAAGUCGAACGAUGAAGCCCAGCUUGCUGGGUGGAUUAGUGGCGAACGGGUGAGUAACACGUGAGUAACCUGCCCUUAACUCUGGGAUAAGCCUGGGAAACUGGGUCUAAUACCGGAUAGGAGCGUCCACCGCACGGUGGGUGUUGGAAAGAUUUAUCGGUGUUUGGAUGGACUCGCGGCCUAUCAGCUUGUUGGUGAGGUAAUGGCUCACCAAGGCGACGACGGGUAGCCGGCCUGAGAGGGUGCACGGACACACUGGGACUCAGGCACUGCCCAGAAUCAUACGGGAGGCGGCAGUGGGGAAGAGUGCGCAAUGGGCGAAAGCCUGAUGCAGCGAAGCCUCGUGAGGGAUGACGGACUUCGGGUUGUAAACCUCUUUCAGUAGGGAAGAAGCGAAAGUGACGGUACCUGCAGAAGAAGCACCGGCUAACUACGUGCCAGCCGCCGCCGUAA